rnacentral:rRNA from 1 species
UACGAAGGGGGCUAGCGUUGUUCGGAAUUACUGGGCGUAAAGCGCACGUAGGCGGACUAUUAAGUCAGGGGUGAAAUCCUGGAGCUCAACUCCAGAACUGCCUUCGAUACUGAGAGUCUCGAGUCCGGGAGAGGUGAGUGGAACUGCGAGUGUAGAGGUGAAAUUCGUAGAUAUUCGCAAGAACACCAGUGGCGAAGGCGGCUCACUGGCCCGGUACUGACGCUGAGGUGCGAAAGCGUGGGGAGCAAACAGG